rnacentral:rRNA from 1 species
AUUGAACGCUGGCGGCAGGCCUAACGCAUGCAAGUCGAACGGUAACAGGAAGAAGCUUGCUUCUUUGCUGACGAGUGGCGGACGGGUGAGUAAUGUCUGGGAAACUGCCUGAUGGAGGGGGAUAACUACUGGAAACGGUAGCUAAUACCGCAUAACGUCGCAAGACCAAAGAGGGGGACCUUCGGGCCUCUUGCCAUCGGAUGUGCCCAGAUGGGAUUAGCUAGUAGGUGGGGUAACGGCUCACCUAGGCGACGAUCCCUAGCUGGUCUGAGAGGAUGACCAGCCACACUGGAACUGAGACACGGUCCAGACUCCUACGGGAGGCAGCAGUGGGGAAUAUUGCACAAAGGGCGCAAGCCUGAUGCAGCCAUGCCGCGUGUAUGAAGAAGGCCUUCGGGUUGUAAAGUACUUUCAGCGGGGAGGAAGGGAGUAAAGUUAAUACCUUUGCUCAUUGACGUUACCCGCAGAAGAAGCACCGGCUAACUCCGUG